UGCCAGCAGCCGCGGUAAUACGUAGGGUGCAAGCGUUAAUCGGAAUUACUGGGCGUAAAGCGUGCGCAGGCGGUUGUGUAAGACAGGUGUGAAAUCCCCGGGCUUAACCUGGGAAUUGCAUUUGUGACUGCACGACUAGAGUGUGUCAGAGGGGGGUGGAAUUCCACGUGUAGCAGUGAAAUGCGUAGAUAUGUGGAGGAACACCAAUGGCGAAGGCAGCCCCCUGGGAUAACACUGACGCUCAUGCACGAAAGCGUGGGGAGCAAACAGGAUUAGAUA
rnacentral:rRNA from 1 species